rnacentral:rRNA from 1 species
GGACUACUCGGGUAUCUAAUCCUGUUUGCUCCCCUUGCUCUCGCGCCUCAGCGUCAGGAAUAAGCUAGAAAAUCGCCUUCGCCACCGGUGUUCUUCCACAUAUCUACGCAUUUCACCGCUACACGUGGAAUUCCAUUUUCUCCGCCAAUCCUCCAGACAUACAGUCUUAAGUGCAGCUCCGAAGUUGAGCUUCGGAAUUUCACACUUAACUUGUACACCCGCCUACGCGCCCUUUACGCCCAAUAAAUCCGAUUAAUGCUUGCACCCUCCGUAUUACCGCGGCUGCUGGCAC